rfam:Schistosoma curassoni strain Dakar, Senegal genome assembly, scaffold: SCTD_scaffold0018005
AUCCAGCUACCGACGAGUCCCAAACAGGACGAAAUUCGCGUUCUGGAU